rnacentral:lncRNA from 1 species
AUGGGCCUACUCCUGCGGGUUCUCAUUCUCACUCCUUUACUAGCAGUGUAUUACCAUCCUCAUUUCCUGUUAUUGGCAAAAGCUCAACAAUUGCUCCAAAGCACAGAAUCCCCUUACUCCACCAAUUGCUGAUUAUGUACUAGCUCUUCCGCUAAAACACCAGGAAGAGCUUAUGCAGCCUCGCCCAGAGACUGGACAAGCAUAGAGGCAGAAUUACAUAUUUUCUAUCAGUGGGACCCUAAUCUGAAAGGGAUGUUCAAGCCUGCAAGCCUUCUUGCAAAAGUAAAGCAAGAUUUCCCUGAUAUCCACAAGGAAUCUCCCAUUUUCAGAGCCAUCUUUUCUAAUAUCACUUUAAUGGGAAUAGCCCCUAUCUGUGUUACAGGUACAUGGAAAAAUGGAAUGGAUAUAGGUGCUCUCCCCAGUACAGUUUGUAGUGUUACUCUCACUGUAGAUCCUCAUCAACAAAUUUACCGAACAUACAUCUGCAAUGAAUUUUGCCAUCAACCAAGAUUCCCAAACCUCCAACUAUUACCUUUCCUCAGGGAACUUUGCUAGAUAAGUCCAUCCAGUUUUGCCAGGGAUGCCCAACCUCAUGCAGUGCUCAAAAUUUCUGGUUUUGGCCUGCGGAUUAUAACUAAUAUCUGCAAAUUGCCAAUCUCAACUCUACAGCAGAAUGGGCUCUACUGGACCAAACUUGAAAUUCUCUAUUUUGGGAAAAUAAAACCAAGGAAACUAACCAGAGCCAAACCUGCAUCCCAUUCUCAGCAGGCAUGAGUAUGGCCACCAGCUACCUGGGUGUGUCGGUAGCCUUGGGAUUUUUUGGAGCUGUCCUCACCCCCUUAUUUUGUUUGUCCAUAUCUACUUGUCUUAAAACCGAAGGAGCCUUCUGUCUUUGUGGCCAAUCUAUUCACCAGUGCCUCCCCACUAACUGAACUGAAGUAUGCCCAGACGUCCUCAGAGUCCCUGGCAAUCUGUCUCUUCCAGUAGCAAUCCAUGGGCAUUUCAUCUUGCCCAGGAUGAGGAGGGCUAUCCAAUUAAUUCUCCUUCUCACGGGACUCGGCAUUAUAGCUGAUACAGGAACUGAAAUUGCUAGAAUUAUAAAGUCCUUUUUAAUCUAUAGCCAACUCUCAAAGGAAAUACCCAACAACAUUGAUGCCAUGGCUAAGACCUUAACAACCAUGCAAGAACAAAUAAAUUAUUUAGCAGCUAUAGUCCUCCAAAAAUCAUCAAGGGCUAGACAGGUUAAUGGCAGCACAGGGAGGAAUUUGUUUAGCCUCAGAUGAAAAAUGUUGCUUUUAGGUAAAACAAUCAAGAAACGUACAAGGCAACAUCACACAACUCCCAAAUCCAAUUUACGGGAACAAGCCUCUCAGGGUUCGUUAAAUUGGGAAGGAAACUAGAAAUGGUUCAACUGGGUUCUUCCCUUUUUAGGCCUACUUGUUAGUCUCCUACUUUUGCUCCUUUUUGGUCCAUGUCUUUUAAAUCUAAUAACCCGAUUUAUCUCCUCUCAUGUUCAGGCCAUCAAGCUCCAGAUGAUCCUCAGUGAGGGAUACCGUCCUCUCAAUUUUCA